AUGUUCUGCUCCGGGCCUGGCACAGCAAGAGGCCAGAGGGGGGAGGCCGGUGAGAUGGACACUGAGAAUGGUUUUCUUGCUGCUAAGCUAACUGAUGAUCUAGUCGUGGAGAUCCUCUCCCGGCUGCCGUUCAAGUCUUUUUGCCGCUUCAAAUGUGUCUGCAAGGCCUGGCUUGCCUUCUCCUCUAAUCCAGACUACUGCAAGAAGCUUUUGAAAAUUCCGAUGGGUCUUCUGUAUCAACGCCGUUAUGAUGAAUUUGAUAAUGAUUUCGAUGACUCUGCUAUCAAGCUUGCUAGCCUGCCCCACAAUGAUAAGGAAUUUGAUGAAGCUCUUAGUUUCCUACCACAAUAUGAGCAGUUAGAGCUGAUGGACUCUUGCAAUGGCCUGGUCCUUUGUAAGUACAAGAGCAGCUGUACUCCUUUUGGUAUUUGCCGCUUCAUCGUGUGCAAUCUGGCAACACGAGAGUGGAAGGUGCUCCCUGAUACUCCUCCUAGCGAUUAUGACCCAUCAUGGUCGACAAAGUUCUAUAUCUUCAACUUUCAACGGCUGAGUACCCGCUAUUGGGCAUUUGGCCCCGUCAAACUUCAGGUGUUCUCGUCUGACCUUAACACCCGGUUCCUGGACGAUACAUCAGUGCUCUCUGAGACAAAAGUUUAUCGACUACACAUGUUUAUAGAUGGAGCAUUGUAUGUGCACACAGGUUUGCAUGACAUUCUGGUACUGAAGAGCUUGGAGGAAACUAGUUCUGGCAUUCCGCCGUCUCUUCGGACUAUUAAGUUGCCGCAUGAAGACGGCGCUUUUAUGGGUAGGUUUGGCCAAUGUUGCUUCGGCCAAUCUUCGGGGGCCUUGCACUACGCAUUGCCAGAGGAGGAUGCUCGUGCGAUUCUUGUUUGGAGUCUUGAUGCUGAUGAGCCUUAUGAGUGGAGCCUCAAGUACCGCCUCAAUAUGAGCCAAGCAUUCGGAAGGGACAACCUUCGUCAGCAUGAUGCACGCCACUGGAAAUGCGACUAUGCUGUCGUCUCUCUUGACCUGGAGAGAGAUGGUAUUUUCCUGUUUGACAAACGGGAGGACAAGAUUCGUUUGUACAAAAUAAGCACCGGUGAACUUACUGACAUUCAACCAGAAGACCACCGCUCCCGCUUUUUGAAUAACAAGUACUAUCAUUAUGUGGCAUCCUACUCAAAGCUCCCAGCUUUAACCGUGUAG
rnacentral:rRNA from 1 species